rnacentral:lncRNA from 1 species
CAUUUGGUAGUAGAAAUGCACAAUUAGAGGUAAAGUUAUUCUCUUUUGUCUCUCUCACUCAUACAAUAAAAAGGAAAACUAUGACCAUGUGUAAUAGAUAAAUUUCAAGUCUAGAAUGUCGGGAUCUAUCCAUUACCGAGAACAGUUAAUGGCAGGUCAAUCCCUGAAGUCAACUUGCAGAGGUAAAAUUUGUGCCUUUUAAAAAAUGUUAGGGUAUGACAAUGUAAAAAUUCCAUAAUGUCCAAAUGCAUAUAGUUUAAAUUUUAAUUGUGGAAUGAGACAUGCUUUCUUUCAAAUAGAAUUUAAAGAUUGCGAGGCCUUAUUGUAUUACAAAUUGAAUAAUAGUUUGAAUUUUGAUUGAGUAAAAAUUAAAGUUUAUUUUCCCUUGCCCAAUCAAAAUUUGGGGUUGAAAUUUGUUGGUCUUGAAUGAAGGACACAUUUUGAUUGAGUAAAAUUUGAGUUUAUUUUCUUUGGUUUGUGUGAAUUCUUCAUGAGCUUAUCAACUUUAAUUCAUAUGCAUUUCUUUAGACG